GGCAGCGUGAAGCCAGAUGCUUUAAAAGACCUCAACUAAGCGAGCCGACCUACGGCGUCGCUACUGCCGUGAAUGAAAGACCCAAACAAUGAUUCGGCCUCCACAAAUAACCCACAGCUGUGGCUGUUCUGAAACAGACAAGACCAAACUGGCCAGACUUCAUGACAAGACGCCACCUACCUUGACAUUCGAGACGUCUGACGAAACCAAGGGCCCGAAACCACGGGCUAAGCUUUCAGCAAAGGCCAGUUUGAGGGAGCAGGUGACGUCCGUCCUAUAAACCUAAUCUGGUGGAGUUUGGCCUCGUGCAUUUUCGAUGCCAGUAGGCUAUUAUAAUGUAAAAAGUGGACUUAAUAGCCGCGAGCGGGAAUAUAGCUUAACUCAUCAUAUAACUUAACUCGAGUGAGCCUAUUAUAAUGCGUAGACUAUUUUAAAUGUGGCUUAAAUGUUUUCAGAUACUCGUAUUCGUGUUGUACUGUAAAAUUUGUUUACUUGUGCGAAAUUCCUUUAUAGCCUACUUUUGUCUGACAGCACGCCGGCUGUGGGUAACUUUCCCCGCGCCAGAGCUUUGUCCGCGUGGUAGACUUCAAGUUCGGGGGAGGAGGGUCACCGCUCGCGCCGCGGGAUCAUGAGAAAGGACUACAGGCGCCAUUGAGGACACCCUGUGUGCCCCGGAUGAAGUUUGUCUGAUUACUGAUUCAUUUCAAAUUCAGAUCAGACUCUGGUCUUCGAUAGAGGAAACUCUUUAAGGUUCCAGAAUGUUUAACAGCCGUAGAGGAUCAAUAACGGCUUUUUAUUUUAAUUGCCUCCGAGAUCUGGGAAGUGAAGUGAAGUUGAAGUGAACUUCAACUUUCCGGCUAAGAUCUCGCCUUGAGACAGUCGGUCUGUCACGUCGCGUUCGGUGGAGACACCGGGAAGUGCCAGUUGCUCGCCCUGCCAGCCAAGCAAACGAGGACUUAAUAGGGCCUACGAGAGUAAUGAGCAAGUGGAAACUGUCUCGCGGACACGGCCAAGCAUGCUGAGAGGCCGCCACGCGCCAAGGACCGGUGUGCACGAACAAGUCAAAGAUGGAGACAUUUUCACACUUUCACAUUGUGAAUACACUAUGGCGGAAAUAAAGGAGGCCCGUGAUCAAGCGAAUAAUCUCGAGGACUCGGACGCCAGAUGACGUAGCUACAGCGGUCCUUGGGUCACUGUUCAACAGGCCACAUUUUGACUAUUUCCCCAGAAGAAUGCAUUUUACAGGCAGCGAAAAAAUAUAAAGAAAACUUGAACCGAGAACAAAUAUAAUGAACCGAUAUGUAGACUAUCGUACAUGAACGAUGAAGAAAUACACAGACCUUUAAAGACAAAAUCCACAAGCGUAACGGCAAGAUUGGCGAUAGCCAAUAGCUAAUAAAUUGUCAGAGAUUUACUAUUGUUUUUUAAUAAUCGUCGUCGUGGUUAUUGGCAUCAUAUUUUAGCCGAGGCUUAAAGUAUUAGCACUAUAACCAUUAACAUAAAAUAUAUUUAUUCGACUGCUAAUGGCCACUUUACCGAGAAAGAUUUCUCCUGCUGAAACCAAGUAGCGGAAGAGCAAUUUCUGCCGAGCCCAGAUCGUAUUUCACAUUGCUGUUAAGAAGUUCUUGGUCAAUUACUCUAAAUGUAAUUCCUGGAAAUCGCUCAAAUUACUGAGAAUUAAUUUAGACAGUGUCAAGCUUUGGCAAAGACGCGGGCGUGAGGGGGUAACCUCGGAACAGAUUUAUAAGGUGCUGGAUUUCUCUCUUGGCCGAAUUAGAGCUGAUAAUUCUGCUGGAUCAGAUAUUACAGAGAGAUUUCGCCCAGUAGAAAGAUUGAACAACUUUAGAAUAAUAGCCCACUAUGCGAUUAUUAUUAUUAUUAUUAUUAUUAUUAUUAUUAUUGUGUUUCCUUCGGGAUUCGGCAGUUAUUGCAUGUAUCCAGGAUAACCAGUUAUGAGUACGUAUUCACGAGUAUGUGAGCGAAUUCAUUCAUCUUUUCCACGAUAUUUAACAUAUGCAUAUUUAAGGAAUCUAUUUUCCAAAAAUACGAUAUGCCAGGUGGCUUGAUAAAAACAAACACGGGGAUACGCGCCUAUGUUUGAUUAGUCGCAUCUAACCCCCGGAUUUAUGCACUGUGAUAGUAAUUGUUACAAUGUCACAACAAUAAUAAUAAUAAUAAUAAUAAUAACUUUUCUUUCAAAGCUUUCAAUUGCAGUACUUUUGUAAAUGACUUUACUGCUAAACAACAAAAAUAAAAGAAGCUUCAUUUAUUCCUUUUUUAUCGAUUCUAUCGGAAAAGCGUGCAAUUUCCUUCAUCUCUGGGUAAAUAUCAGUGCAGCGCGAUUCAGACCAGAGAACCGCACUAAGGAAAAACGAAACAAAUACUGCACUCAAUUAUGAAUGAAACCAAAAAUAAAAAGAAAAUAUCAACGUUUAUUAUUAAGAUUAACUUCGAUUGAGCGAACUGUCUUUUGUAAAUGCAUAUAGCUGUAUUCGUGCAUAAUAUAGUCCUAACUUAGGAUACACGUCUGUGUUUUAAAUAUUUAAGUGAAAUACAUUUUAACAGCGCACGGCGACCUAAGGUUACAACGAACUACUAUUUCUACAACGGACAAGAGCGAAAGCUUAAAGCUAUACUUCUAACACGAGCUCUUGGAGACGGAAAUACAAUUCACUAUGUUUCAACAUACAUAUCUUCACUUUAACGUAGGCCUAUAGAUUAAUAUAUACAAUGCAAACAUAAUAUAUCAGAACAAAAUGACAAUCGUAUUAGGCCUAUACUAAUUAAUUACAAGAGUAUUUCAAUAUAUGAGAGAUCCUAGAAGAUAAAACAUUAUUAAGAGGUGAAGAUGCAGAAGGCGGGGUUCCAGUCAGUAGUCAGGGUGUGGACUCUAGCCAAUCAGUGACUUACAGCAAUAACUCACGUGUGGAAAUACACCGAAAACCAGCAGACACUGAUGCUCUCCAGGAAUGUGUUAUUUCCUCCGUAUCCUCCUUUGCGAUGCAGGCUACGGAGUAAAUAUAGACCUGAAAAAAGCAAAAUACGAUGAUGCUCAUGCUAUAAUAAUAAUGAUAAUAAUAAUAAUAAUAAUAAUAAUAAUAAGCAAAAAGGCUAUUGAAAGAAAUAUUAUCUUGUUUUGUACAGUGCAGCUUUAGAUCCACGUGCCGAUGGCCAGUUCAACAAGAUGCCGAGAAUUUUACCUGUUUUUACAGAUUUUGCCUGAAGGCGGCGCCACGUGCUGCCGAAAUAGGCUCCAGAAGCAAAUGCGGCCGAGUUCGCAGGCAUUAGAUUCCAAUCCAGACCGCGAUUCCGCCCACAGUUUAUUUCUCGCCGCGUGUUGCGCGUGCCCAGACCAGACGGCGCACACGAUUAUCCAGGAAGCCACGGUGCAGCGCGUGGGACAGCAGCAUAAGAAUUGGAUGUCGCACAUUCGUAGAAUGUCUGAGGCUUCCGCGUGACGUCUCCUGGGUUCCACUCACACACACUCAGAAAAAAAGGUGUAUAAGGCCUGUCACUUAUAACCCUGUUUCAGUGACACUCACUAAACAUCUGAAAGAAAAGUUACUGUUAAAAAAGUGAAGUUACUGAAUCAGCAUGCAAUAACACAAGCAGUGUUGGGUAGUGAAGGAUUACAUUUAAACUGGAUUCUGCAAUUAGAUUUAAAAGAUGGAGUAAUCAAUCUAUAAAUUACAUGAUGAAAUUUUGGAUUACAUCAACAUACAAUGUACAGACAGACAUGCAAUCACACACACACACAAACCCCCACCCCACACACAAACACACACACACUCACCACAUGUACACACACUAACACCAGGCACCAUAUGAACACACAGUAACACACCACACCACACCACGUGCAAUCAUACACUCACCACAUGUGCACACACUAACACAACACACCACAUGGCUGUCCACACAGGAAGUGAGCAUGUGUAUUGUAGCUACACAUUCAAAUGAAAAAAAGAAACCAGACUUACCAGAAACACAGAAAUUAAUGUUGGCAACACAUUUAUUCUGUAAUAUACUUGGCUACUUAAACUGGAAGUAAUCCAAAAAAACAGAUUAUGUUUUAUUAGUUCACACAUGUUCAAUGACGUAACAGAUUAUGUUUCUAAUUACAUUUCAGUCAUGUCAUUUGUAAUCAUUAUCGGAUUACAUUUCCCAAGGAAUCUGCUUAACACUGAAUAUAAGCAAUAUUCUUAAAAAAAAAAAGUAUUUUAAUUUAAUUUGAGGUUAAGUUGGCUAUUUGCAGAAACAGUAAAAAAAUUUGAUUUAAGCAGAUCUAAAAUGAAAAAUGAAUGAAUUAAUUUGUUAGUUUAGCCUUUUGUUACAUAUAUUUGUAGUCUGCUACCAAACAAAUUGAUAAAAUCUUGCCCAUUAGCACACAAACAUCUCCCACUAAGAUGAUUUGUUUGAGGAAGCAUUACAUUUUUAUUAAGUCACAAAGCCCUUUUAUUAAAUUUCAUACUCUACAGCCUCACUUCGACUAUAUUUUCCCUACGAAGCAAAGGCGCCGUAAACGAACUAUCUUCCCCAGGAAACCGCAUUACGCGUUUUGGGCCCACGUUUUGUUCCCAUUGCCGCAUUAACAUUAUUUAUUUAUUCAUUGUCAUUGUACUUUUAUUUUUUCUAGGCAGAUUAUGGCAAACGCGUUUAUUUUUCGCAGGGGGUAGGGGACUGAAAAUUCAGAGCGACAAAUGAAAUUCUGCAUUUCUGAACAACUUCUGACGUGUUUGGACAACAUUUUGAAAUGAUGCUCGCGCCACUUUGUCGAUGCUAAAUAUAAUAAAGUGAAGAUUGUGAGUCAA